CGGAUAGAGCUAGCGAAGUCGCUUGUAUUCAGCCUAAGACUCGGGACUGCCUCUGGGGCCCUUCGGGGACUCAGUUGUGUGUCUCGUUUUGAGGUGCAUUUGCAGGCGUUUGCGCUGAGACUUGUGGGUCAGCUGCUGGAACCGCGUCUAGAGGCUUCCCUUUGGGUUGUACCUGGACGUGGCUACAGCUGUUUGGCCUGCUCGUACCUGGACCUGGCCUACGGGCACCGGUCGCGCCGUUGUUGUCUGGCAAAGGUAUCGCAUGCGAUGCCUAGUCUGAUGGCCUCGGUUCGGCUUGUGUUCCCUGGUCCGCUCUCGGUGUAGAAGCUGGUCAUCUCUCCGACCCGUCUUGAAACACGGACCAAGGAGUUUAGCGUAUGCGCGAGCCAUUGGGUGCAAAACCCACAGGCAUAAUGAAAGUAAAGGUCCAGUCGCUGGACUGACAUGCGAGCGCUAGGGCUCCGGCCCUGGUGUGCAGCAUGGUCCCGUUGUAAUCGCUUGCGAUGCAGCGGAGACAGAGCGUAUGCGCUGAG
rnacentral:rRNA from 1 species